UACGAAGGGGGCUAGCGUUGCUCGGAAUCACUGGGCGUAAAGGGUGCGUAGGCGGCUUUUUAAGUUUGGUGUGAAAUCUCCCGGCUCAACUGGGAGGGUGCGCCGAAUACUGAGAGGCUAGAGUGUGGGAGAGGAAAGUGGAAUUCCUGGUGUAGCGGUGAAAUGCGUAGAUAUCAGGAGGAACACCGGUGGUGUAAACGGCUUUCUGGACCAUAACUGACGCUGAGGCACGAAAGCGUGGGUAGCAAACAGG
rnacentral:rRNA from 1 species